AACGCGAAGAACCUUACCUGGGCUUGAACUACUCGUGGUAGUUCGCUGGAAACAGUGGACGACCCGCAAGGGAGCGAGCAGAGGUGCUGCAUGGUUGUCGUCAGCUCGUGUCGUGAGAUGUUGGGUUAAGUCCCGCAACGAGCGCAACCCCUACUCGAUGUUGCCACUCCCGCAAGGGAAGCACUCUUCGAGAACUGCCUUCGAUAAGAAGGAGGAAGGUGGGGACGACGUCAAAUCCUCAUGGCCCUUAUGUCCAGGGCUACACACGUGUUACAAUGGCCGGUACAAUGGGAAGCAAUACCGUAAGGUGGAGCCAAACCCACAAAGCCGGCCCCAGUUCAGAUUGUGGGCUGCAACUCGCCCACAUGAAGGCGGAAUCGCUAGUAAUCGCUGAUCAGCAGGCAGCGGUGAAUACGUUCCCGGGCCUUGUA
rnacentral:rRNA from 1 species